rnacentral:lncRNA from 1 species
UUUUUUUUUCUUUUUGGCUGUGCCUGAGCCACAGCAGUGACAACCUUGGAUGCUGAACCUGCCAAGCCACCGGGGAACUCCCUUUUGUCCAUUUUUAAAUAAGGUUGUUAAUUUACUUACUGUUGAGUUUUCAGAAUUCUUUGUCUAUUUUGGGGAGUUCCUUGUCUUGGUGCAGCGGAAACAAAUCCAACUAGGAACCAUGAGGUUGUGGGUUCGAUCCCUGGCCUCGCUCAGUGGGCUAAGGACCCGGCAUUGCUAUGAGCUGUGGUGUAGGUCAAAAACAGGGCUCUGAUCUGGCAUUACUGUGGCUGUGGUGCAGUCCAGCAGCAACAGCUCCAAUUAGACCUCUAGCCUGGCAACCUCCAAAUGCCGUGGGUGCAGCCCUAAAAAGACAAAACAAAACAACAACAACAACAAAGAAUUGUCUAUUUUGGGUAACAUUCCUUUAUCAGAUAUGUGUUUCACAAAUAUUGUCUCCCAGUCUAUGGCUUGUCUUCUCAUUUUCUUGAUGAGUUAACUUUUCGUUAUUAAAAUAAUUAUUUGCUGCCUAUACAGCAUGUUGAUAACGAAUAUCAAAAGAAAAAAUAUUUUUGAUUCUAGUUCCCUCAGGAUGACAAUAUACUGAUGACGGUGACAACCGUUCCCAUCUUUGGAAUGCUUGAAGUGUCCCAAGAACUGACAAUCAUCUCAUAUGACCCUGCCACAGACCCUUGUGGGGCAGAUAUUAUCAUACCCAUUAUGCAGAAGCUAAAGAGGAAGCUCAGAGAAAGGAAGUGGCUAGACCCAAACUGCAUACCACUAAGUAGUGGAGCCAGUGUUCAAACCCAGCAGCACCGGCCCCAGAGUCCUUGUUCCAAACCGGGCAAUUGUAGACUAUGCCGUUUUCAUCUUCGGUCUCCCCCAGUCAAGUACAGUCAUAUCCCUAUGUGCCCCCGGACCCUCUCAGAUGUUAUCACCUUUUUUUUCAACUUCGGGAUCUCCCUGGGAGCUAGGUAUCCUCACAGAAGAACAAAUCGAGACUCUGAGAGGUUAAGUGACUUGCCCAAAGUCUCCCAGGUGUGUGAGCUCAGAUAAGCCACUUUCCAAGGAUUUAUGCUCUGUGAGGCCAGACCCCACCAGCCAAUUCUUCCCUCUACUUUGAGUGGCCCCAGAAAAAUCAGUCCUGGGCUGGACUGCCGCUGUCUUGCUCUCCUCCCUCCCUCUGCCCAUCCUUCUGUGGCUUCUAGAGGGAUCAUUCUAAAUUGUCAACCAAAUCAUGGCCCCUCCCCCGUGAUGGGCAUCCCGUGGCUUCCAUCUGUCCUCAGGAGGACUCCCAAACUCCCUGGCAUGGCAUGCCAGGCUCCCGGCAUCCUACCUCUUCUGCCUCUGCAGCCUCGCCCACAGCCUCCACCCAUGUCCUCAGCUAAGGCACCAUCUGCUCCUACUCUUCCUUGAGCCUCUAGGACUUGAUCCACACUGCUCUUUUGCCUGGUACACCUUCCCUCCUCCUGCACCCCUGACUCCACCUGAGCCCGGAAGAGGCAGAGAUGGCAGUGGACGGGGUCCCAAGAGGUGGGCCUUGGGAUCUACUUGGAAGGGGGCACCCUCAUGAUUGAUGUCCUGAUGGAGCUUUUGUUUGGGGGAAAAUCCCCCAGGCCCUAUCCUCAAAGGCAGCCUUGCGAAUGGUCCGUGGGAGGUGGGAGAUUCCAGGUCUGCUUCUUUCCCAGGUAGGCUGGUGAUGCUGGGGCCACCCCAGAAGUGGAAAGCACCUGCACACACCCCUUCCCUGGCCCGCAAGGGCCCCAGUCCCAGUUCCGCUUGGCGUUACCAUCCAUGGCAUGGUGAUGGUAGCUUCCUACGCCACGCCCCAGAGGCUCACCUCCCAGUCACCCGGCCCCACAUUCCAGUUAAAGAGGAAGGGUGCAGAACGGGAAGUGGAACUCCUGCCCUAGCCACCCCACAGUCUACUGGGAGCUGGGCAGGCAGGGGUGUGGGGAGAAAGAGCAGAGGAAGCGGCUUCUCUCAGCGUUAUUGGAAGCCACGAGACACCUCCAAAUGCCCCCCUCCUUGAUAUGUCUGCAAAAUCUCUGCUUCGCUGCAUUUAAUUCAGCAUUUAACGAGCCCCUACUGCGUGAUUACCCACAGGGCUAGGUGUGGUUUGCAUAUAAGAUCACAAGUCCAGCCUUUGGGGGAAAUAGCACUGGCAUCUGACCAAGAGAUCUGGGUAGUUGAGCCCCGUUCUGCAGUUAUUAGCUAGCAGGCCACGGGCACUCCAGGAAACCUUCUAGGCCUCUAGUGGGCCAUCUUUCGAAUGGGGACUGUGGUAUCUAUCCAAGAGAGCUGCAAGGGAGCAGGAAUGGGAAAACGACCUCAUGCAC